rnacentral:rRNA from 1 species
AAAGGUAAGCUACUAAGAGCGAAUGGUGGAUGCCUUGACUGGUAAAGGCGAUGAAGGACGUACUAGACUGCGAUAAGCUACGGGGAGCUGUCAAGAAGCUUUGAUCCGUAGAUUUCCGAAUGGGGCAACCCAAUGUAUAGAGAUAUACAUUACCUAUAUAGGAGCGAACGAGGGGAAUUGAAACAUCUUAGUACCCUCAGGAAAAGAAAUCAAUAGAGAUUGUGUCAGUAGCGGCGAGCGAAAGCGCAAGAGGGCAAACCCAGUGCUUGCACUGGGGGUUGUAGGACUGCAAUGUGCAAGAGCUGAGUUUAGCAGAACAUUCUGGAAAGUAUAGCCAUAGAGGGUGAUAGUCCCGUAUGCGAAAAACAAAGCUUAGCUAGCAGUAUCCUGAGUAGGGCGGGACACGAGGAAUCCUGUCUGAAUCCGGGUCGACCACGAUCCAACCCUAAAUACUAAUACCAGAUCGAUAGUGCACAAGUACCGUGAGGGAAAGGUGAAAAGAACUGAGGUGAUCAGAGUGAAAUAGAACCUGAAACCAU